GUCUACAGCCAUGCCAUCCUGAACAAACCCAAUGUCUGAUCUCAGAAGCUAAGCAGAGUCGGACCUGGUUAUUACUUGGAUGGGAGACCACCUAGGAUUACCAGGUGCUGUAGGCA
rnacentral:rRNA from 1 species